GGGAGAUGAUGAUACUCUUAUUUGGUCCGUGUUUCUGAAUUUUCUGUGAUUGAGAAACACAAGCACUCUCUGAUCCC